ACUUCUUGUACAUCAACUUCUAGUACAUA
rnacentral:piRNA from 1 species